rnacentral:rRNA from 1 species
GACGAACGCUGGCGGCGUGCUUAACACAUGCAAGUCGAACGGAAAGGCCCCUUUGGGGGUACUCGAGUGGCGCACGGGUGAGUAACGCGUGAGUAACCUGCCCUUUACUUCGGGAUAACUUCAGGAAACUGGGGCUAAUACCGGAUAGGAAUCAUUGCUGCAUGGUGGGGGUUGGAAAGCUUCGGCGGUUUUGGAUGGACUAUCGGCGUAUCGGCUUGUUUGUGGGGUAGUGGCUUACCAAGGCUUUGACGGGUAGGCGGCCUGAGAGGGCGACCGGCCACACUGAGACUGAGAUACGGCCCAGACGCCGACGGGAAGAAGCAGUGGGGAAUAUUGCACAAUGGGCGGAAGCCUGAUGCAGCAACGCCGCGUGCGGGAUGACGGACCUGGGGUUGUAAACCGCUUUCAGCAGGGGCGAAGCUUGUGGUGACGGUACCGGCAGAAGAAGCACCGGCUAACUACGUG